UUGUGCUUGCACAGAUGACGACCGGCGCACGGGUGCGUAACGCGUAUAGAACCUACCUUUUACAGAGGAAUAGCCUUUAGAAAUGAAGAUUAAUGCCUCAUAGUAUUGUAGACUGGCAUCAGUUUAUAAUUAAAGAUUUAUCGGUAAAAGAUGGCUAUGCGUCCUAUUAGUUAGUUGGUAAGGUAACGGCUUACCAAGACAGCGAUAGGUAGGGGUCCUGAGAGGGAGAUCCCCCACACUGGUACUGAGACACGGACCAGACUCCUACGGGAGGCAGCAGUGAGGAAUAUUGGACAAUGGAGGAGACUCUGAUCCAGCCAUGCCGCGUGUAGGAAGAAUGCCCUAUGGGUUGUAAACUACUUUUAUACAGGAAGAAACACUGGUAUGUAUACCAGCUUGACGGUACUGUAAGAAUAAGGACCGGCUAACUCCGUGCCAGCAGCCGCGGUAAUACGGAGGGUCCGAGCGUUAUCCGGAAUCAUUGGGUUUAAAGGGUCCGCAGGCGGUCGAUUAAGUCA
rnacentral:rRNA from 1 species